GCGUAUCCCAACCUGCCCACCAUUGGGAUAACCUUGCGAAAGUAAGACUAAUACCCAAUGACGUCUCUAGAAGACAUCUGAAAGGGAUUAAAGAUUUUAUCGGUGAUGGAUGGGGAUGCGUCUGAUUAGCUUGUUGGCGGGGUAACGGCCCACCAAGGCGACGAUCAGUAGGGGUUCUGAGAGGAAGGUCCCCCACAUUGGAACUGAGACACGGUUCAAACUCCUACGGGAGGCAGCAGUGAGGAAUAUUGGUCAAUGGGCGAGAGCCUGAACCAGCCAAGUAGCGUGCAGGAAGACGGCCCUAUGGGUUGUAAACUGCUUUUAUAGGGGAAUAAAGUGAGCCACGUGUGGUUUUUUGCAUGUACCCUAUGAAUAAGGACCGGCUAAUUCCGUG
rnacentral:rRNA from 1 species